rnacentral:rRNA from 1 species
UACAGAGGGGGCAAGCGUUAUUCGGAAUUAUUGGGCGUAAAGGGCGCGUAGGCGGCCUGGCAAGUGGAAGGUGAAAUCCCUCGGCUUAACCGAGGAACUGCCCUCCAAACUGCUUGGCUUGAGUCCGGGAGAGGUGAGUGGAAUUCCCAGUGUAGCGGUGAAAUGCGUAGAUAUUGGGAAGAACACCGGUGGCGAAGGCGGCUCACUGGCUCGUAUCUGACGCUCAGGCGCGACAGCGUGGGGAUCAAACAGG